rnacentral:rRNA from 1 species
GACGAACGCUGGCGGCGUGCUUAACACAUGCAAGUCGAACGGUAAGGCCCUUCGGGGUACACGAGUGGCGAACGGGUGAGUAACACGUGGGUGAUCUGCCCUGCACUUCGGGAUAAGCCUGGGAAACUGGGUCUAAUACCGGAUAGGACCCUGGGAUGCAUGUACUGGGGUGGAAAGCUUUUGCGGUGUGGGAUGGGCCCGCGGCCUAUCAGCUUGUUGGUGGGGUGAUGGCCUACCAAGGCGACGACGGGUAGCCGGCCUGAGAGGGGAACCGGGCACACUGGGACUGAGAUACGGACCAGACUCCUACGGGAGGCAGCAGUGGGGAAUAUUGCACAAUGGGCACAAGCCUGAUGCAGCGACGCCGCGUGAGGGAUGACGGCCUUCGGGUUGUAAACCUCUUUCAGCACCGACGAAGCGCAAGUGACGGUAGGUGCAGAAGAAGGACCGGCCAACUACGUGCCAGCCGCCGCCGUAA